rnacentral:rRNA from 1 species
GUAGGGUGCGAGCGUUAAUCGGAAUUACUGGGCGUAAAGCGUGCGCAGGCGGUUUUGUAAGCCAGAUGUGAAAUCCCCGGGCUCAACCUGGGAAUGGCAUUUGGGACUGCAAGGCUGGAGUUUGGCAGAGGAGACUGGAAUUCCCGGUGUAGCAGUGAAAUGCGUAGAUAUCGGGAGGAAUACCGAUGGCGAAGGCAGGUCUCUGGGCUAUAACUGACGCUCAUGCACGAAAGCGUGGGGAGCAAACAGGAUUAGAUACCCUGGUAGUCCACGCCCUAAACGAUGUCGACUGGUUGUUGGGGGUUUGACACUCUCAGUAACGAAGCUAACGCGUGAAGUCGACCGCCUGGGGAGUACGGCCGCAAGGUUA